rnacentral:rRNA from 1 species
UACAGAGGUCUCAAGCGUUGUUCGGAUUCACUGGGCGUAAAGGGUGCGUAGGUGGCGAGGUAAGUCGGAUGUGAAAGCUCGGAGCUCAACUCCGAAAUGGCAUUGGAAACUACCUGGCUUGAGGGUUGGAAGGGGGACUGGAAUUCUCGGUGUAGCAGUGAAAUGCGUAGAUAUCGAGAGGAACACCAGUGGCGAAGGCGAGUCCCUGGACAAUACCUGACAUUGAGGCACGAAAGCUAGGGGAGCAAACAGG